UACGAAGGGGGCUAGCGUUGUUCGGAUUUACUGGGCGUAAAGCGCACGUAGGCGGAUCGUUAAGUCGGGGGUGAAAUCCUGGAGCUCAACUCCAGAACUGCCUUCGAUACUGGCGAUCUUGAGUCCGGAAGAGGUGAGUGGAACUCCUAGUGUAGAGGUGGAAUUCGUAGAUAUUAGGAAGAACACCAGUGGCGAAGGCGGCGACCUGGUCCUUGACUGACGCUGAGGCGCGAAAGCGUGGGGAGCAAACAGG
rnacentral:rRNA from 1 species